CAGGCCUAACACAUGCAAGUCGAACGARACCUUCGGGUCUAGUGGCGCACGGGUGCGUAACGCGUGGGAACCUGCCUUUAGGUUCGGAAUAACUCAGAGAAAUUUGAGCUAAUACCGGAUAAUGUCUUCGGACCAAAGAUUUAUCGCCUUUAGAUGGGCCCGCGUUGGAUUAGCUAGUUGGUGGGGUAAAGGCCUACCAAGGCGACGAUCCAUAGCUGGUCUGAGAGGAUGAUCAGCCACACUGGGACUGAGACACGGCCCAGACUCCUACGGGAGGCAGCAGUGGGGAAUAUUGGACAAUGGGCGAAAGCCUGAUCCAGCAAUGCCGCGUGAGUGAUGAAGGCCUUAGGGUUGUAAAGCUCUUUUACCCGAGAUGAUAAUGACAGUAUCGGGAGAAUAAGCUCCGGCUAACUCCGUGCCAGCAGCCGCGGUAAUAC
rnacentral:rRNA from 1 species